UCAGUGCUUUAUAGCUCAGUUGGUAGAGCAUGAGACUCUUAACCUCAAGGUCAUGGGUUUGAGUCCCACAUUGGGUGAA